rnacentral:rRNA from 1 species
UGGGGAAUUUUGGACAAUGGGGGCAACCCUGAUCCAGCAAUGCCGCGUGUGUGAAGAAGGCCUUCGGGUUGUAAAGCACUUUUGUCCGGAAAGAAAACGCCGUGGUUAAUACCCGUGGCGGAUGACGGUACCGGAAGAAUAAGCACCGGCUAACUACGUGCCAGCAGCCGCGGUAAUACGUAGGGUGCAAGCGUUAAUCGGAAUUACUGGGCGUAAAGCGUGCGCAGGCGGUCCGCUAAGACAGAUGUGAAAUCCCCGGGCUUAACCUGGGAACUGCAUUUGUGACUGGCGGGCUAGAGUAUGGCAGAGGGGGGUAGAAUUCCACGUGUAGCAGUGAAAUGCGUAGAGAUGUGGAGGAAUACCGAUGGCGAAGGCAGCCCCCUGGGCCAAUACUGACGCUCAUGCACGAAAGCGUGGGGGAGCAAACAGGAUUAGAUACCCUGGUAGUCCACGCCCUAAACGAUGUCAACUAGUUGUCGGGGAUUCAUUUCCUUAGUAACGUAGCUAACGCGUGAAGUUGACCGCCUGGGGAGUACGGUCGCAAGAUUAAAACUCAAAUGAAUUGACG